AUUGAACGCUGGCGGCAGGCCUAACACAUGCAAGUCGAACGGUAACAGGAAGCAGCUUGCUGCUUUGCUGACGAGUGGCGGACGGGUGAGAAAUGUCUGGGAAACUGCCCGAUGGAGGGGGAUAACUACUGGAAACGGUAGCUAAUACCGCAUAACGUCGCAAGACCAAAGAGGGGGACCUUAGGGCCUCUUGCCAUCGGAUGUGCCCAGAUGGGAUUAGCUAGUAGGUGGGGUAACGGCUCACCUAGGCGACGAUCCCUAGCUGGUCUGAGAGGAUGACCAGCCACACUGGGACUGGGACACGGUCCAGGCUCCUACGGGAGGCAGCAGUGGGGGAUAUUGCACAAUAGGCGCAAGCCUGAAGCAACCAUGCCGCGGGUAUGAAGGAGGCCUUCGGGUUGGUAAGUACUUUCAGCGGGGAGAGAGGGAGUAAAGUUAAUACCUUUGCUCAUUGACGUGACCCGCAGAAGAAGCACCGGGUAACUCCGGGC
rnacentral:rRNA from 1 species